UUGUAUUCCUGCUUCCUCCACUUAUUAAAUGAUCAUAAGUAUGUGGCUUAACUUCUUGGAGGCUGCUUUUCAAAUUAGAGAACAAAAUAGGCAGAAUUUUCUACAUAAAGUAGAAUGAAGCUAUCGUGACCAAACGACAUAUUAUUAUAAGAAGUGCUUUGAUAAAAUCAAAGGCUGUAACAGUAUAUGAUGCUCUUAUUACAGUGAUCACAAAGAAAUAGUUUAAUUAGUUGCAUAGAUUUUCAACAGAAACUUGCCUUUGAAAUUAAGCUAGAGCAGCUCUUUCUGCAUUAUUGAAAGUACUUAUAUUGGUGCUAUUUUUAUUUUUAAAUCUUUACCCAGAGCAUUAUUUUACAGCAUUUCCACCCUCUGCUGUUCAUAUGCUCCUGGAUUCACAUUCUGUUAAAUUAGGAGGAAGAAACAGGAAUAAACUCACACAGAAUUGAUGUCGGUGUCACCUAAAAGACGCUUGUAAUUUUCUCUUCCUUCCUCCAGGGUCUUACUAUAUUCUUAAGUUACUUUGGCUGGGCUUGAACUUGAGAUUCUUUUCAGUUUGGAAUGAGGGAUGGCCAUCUGGAAUGAAGUGUGUCUUCCUUCUGAGCAUUUUCACACCAAGGAGCCGACACAUGACAAGGAGUCAGGAGCACUUGUGUUUGAACGCAGAUCUCACAUUACCAGCUGGGAGAGCAACUUUCAUACUAAGGAAAGACCAAUGAACAGCCAAUUUGGAAAUGCAAGCUACAUAAUACAGGAAGGAAACUACAUAAUACAGAUAAGCUACAUAAUACACUUUUAAACGUGUGUCACAGGGUCAGGUGUGAUGGCACAUACCUAUAAUUCCAGCAUUUGGAAGCCUGAAGCAGGAGGAUUACUUCAGUUGAGUCCAGCCUGGGAUACUUAGAAAGUUCAAGGCUGGAAUUAUCUAGCACGUUUUUGUCUGAAAAAAACAAAGUGCAACACAAAGGCUGAUGGGUUUUUAAUGCACGAAAUCAUAGAUAAAUAUAUAAGUAGUAUUUAGAAGUAGAUAAAAGGGUAAAAGAAUAAUUGUGAGCUUCACAGUGUUUUAACUUUCUUUACAACUCCAAUGCUGCUCAGCUUUAGUUAAUUUCAAGCAAAAUAUCUUUGCUACUUUGUUUGGAUUGCUGAGACAGAAAGUAAGCCCACAGACACAUGGGGAAUAUUCUUUCUGCCAUCCUGUUUAUGCAGAAAGCACAGUUUGAUUCAUGGAAGCCCCAGCAGGACUGAAGAUUGCCAAAGGAGAUGUCACCUUUCAAUGAGAGCUCCAGAUCAGAUUUAAAAGUCACAAGAUGUGGUAUGAUAAUCAUUCUUAAAAGACAUGGUGGAAAAGAUGGUGGCUGAAAGGAUUUUUUUAUUUGCUUUUCGUAUUGCACUUGUAUGAUAUGAAAAGACUGGUGAACAAUCUCUUUUGGGGCCAGGGUGUCUGGAAAGACAUAGGCACACUUUCUGCCACUGCUGGUGAGUGGAAGGGCUGACUCAAUCAUUAGGAUAUACCUAGAUGUGGGCAUUAAGUGAGAGCUAUGAGAAGCAGUGGGGACCUGAGUUUGUCAGUCUGAGGCAAAGAAUUCACAAGGAAAAUUCCAGUGGUUAACCCGUGGUAUCCCCAAUCUUGGCUCCAGUAAGCAAUGGGAAUGGGGGACCUCACUACUGUGCUUCAGGAACUUUGCUUCAGGGGCAGAGCUCUGGAUCCCUGCUUUGGUUCCCUGGCCUUUCUGGUCCCUUUGCCUAAGAGGCACUUUCACCCAGCAGAAUCUAACUAGAUUCUGUAGAUACCUUGGACUGACAGUUAUGCAAAGAAACAUCGGCGGCUGAGUUCCCUGCAGAUGUUCAGAUUCGGCGAUAUAUGGUAGGGGAGGUAUUGUGGUGAAGGACACAUAAGCAGAAUGCGAUGGCUGCCAGCAUUAAUAUAAAACAUCGUCGCCCUUCUAGGUCAGCACUGAGGGUUGGGCUAGGAGAGUGACCGUUUUGUAACAUCCUGCCAUACAGGUAAUAUCUAUAGGGUUUUGUUUGCAUCCAGGCUGCCAUUCUAGUUGCAGCAAGCUGAAAAUAACAAAAUGUACAGGAGUAUUUUAUCAGUACACUUUAAAGCAUUAGUAGUAUAUCUUUGGGUGGUGUUCUGGCUGAACCAGUCAUCUGUGUUGCUUGGAUUUAAAUAAAUGAAUAAAUAAGUAAAAUCUCUCAAAAUUA